rnacentral:rRNA from 1 species
UGGGGAAUAUUGCACAAUGGGCGAAAGCCUGAUGCAGCAACGCCGCGUGAGUGAUGAAGGCCUUCGGGUUGUAAAGCUCUGUCUUCUGGGACGAUAAUGACGGUACCAGAGGAGGAAGCCACGGCUAACUACGUGCCAGCAGCCGCGGUAAUACGUAGGUGGCAAGCGUUGUCCGGAUUUACUGGGCGUAAAGAGUGCGUAGGCGGCGAGCCAAGUUUGGUGUGAAAUCUCCCGGCUUAACCGGGAGGGUGCGCCGAAAACUGGUUGGCUGGAGUAUGGGAGAGGAAAGCGGAAUUCCUGGUGGAGCGGUGAAAUGCGUAGAUAUCAGGAGGAACACCUGCGGUGUAGACAGCUUUCUGGACCAAAACUGACGCUGAGGCACGAAAGCGUGGGUAGCAAACA